UACGUAGGGGGCAAGCGUUGUCCGGAAUCAUUGGGCGUAAAGAGCGCGUAGGCGGCCCGAUAAGUCCGCUGUGAAAGUCAAGGGCUCAACCCUUGAAUGCCGGUGGAUACUGUCGGGCUAGAGUCCGGAAGAGGCGAGUGGAAUUCCUGGUGUAGCGGUGAAAUGCGCAGAUAUCAGGAAGAACACCAAUGGCGAAAGCAGCUCUCUGGGACGGUACUGACGCUGAGACGCGAAAGCGUGGGGAGCGAACAGG
rnacentral:rRNA from 1 species